CGUCUAUGUUUUGAAAUACAAACAGAAAUGUAUCUAAUUGUGUAUCAGAAUUAAAAUUAAGAAUUACAAUUAUGUGUUAAAACCACAUGGAAUUGUUUAAAAAUUGAUUGUAAUUUUUGGAGUAACUAGGUCUUAUGUCAUUUUUACCUUCAUUUUAUCCCAUAGAAUUAUGUUUUCAUUGGGUUAUAAAGUCACUUGUUUUGUGUCUAACAAAUAAAUGUUGGUACAAUACUGUUAAUAAGAAUGUUUGCUAGAUUGAUACCAGAAUCUAUUUUUGUUGGAUAUGAAACAAAGAAAAGAAUCUUUAUAAAUGAUACAUUUAAAAAAAUAAAUAUUUUCCAUCUCUGUACAAUAAUAUCUCUUAUGUGGGGAAUACCACAAGAUUAUCUGGUAAACAAUAUGCAGUUCUUACAAUGGUAUUUGUACAGUCAUAUUUCAAUAUAUUUUUAUGUGAUUUCUUUUCAUGUAUUUUUUUACAUUCAUUAAUUUCCUUUUGUGUUAGUUUUCUAUUUUUCAAUUCAUUUUUUUUCUGAUGUUUUUCACUGUGGACCUUUGCACCUCUCUUUUUCUUGAAUAUGCAAAAGUGGUUAAUGCAUAUUCAUAGGUAUUUCUGAGCAUGCGCAGUGGCAACUCGGAGGAUGGCAGGGAGAGGUGCGAAGGUCCGCAGAUUAGAGAUCGAGAGUACCUAAAGGAUAAUCACGUAUCAUCGGACAAAAAAACAAAACUCUUUUACCGUAGAAUUUCUCUGUGGUUCAAAAUGUUAUUAUUACUACAACAAUCUUUCUUCAAAUAUCAUGGUCAAUUCUUCUUUUCAUCUAUUAAUCAUUUCAACUAUCUGUGCUUCACUAUCUACAGUUGUACUAACAUGUAGAAUAUUCUUUUUUUAUGUUUCUUAUUAUAGCUUAUAUUUCACUAAUCAGGCCAAAAAAAAAAAUUGUCAAGUUGCCCAAGCUGUGACAUUUGGAAAUUGGGGUUGUCGCUGCUGCAAUAUUUUUUUUCUAGAAUUUAUUGUCAUAUCACUAAUUUCAUUUUUUUUAUAAGAGAGAAUUUUUUGCUAACUGGCAACACAACAUUUUUUGUCGGUAAAGCUUGGGCAAUACGGGAUGUUUUUUUUUGGUCUCCAGCUAUUGAUUUCCAUUUCUGCACCCUUGCGCUUUUCUAUGUGCAUGAAAUUAUCCAAAACAUUUAAAAAUCUUGAUAUAUCUUAAAUAUUAAAUUAUUAAAAUUUGAAAUUAAAUAUCUGUUAAUCUGUUAUGGUAAGAUUGAUAAGAGAAGUCAUAUUUUUGAUUCUAGCCUUCAUCACCUUAAUGAUGUUUUGAGUUGUUGGGCUUCAGUAUCUAAUGCUUCGCCACACAUAAACCUGCUUUCAGUCUGUGUCCUCGGCUCACAGAUGCUUAAUCAGAAACAUAAAAUAACUACGGUAAAUAGAUAUAAACACUAAAACAGGGGCUACGUUUUUUGUAGCAUUGAAUAGCAAUAGCUAAUAGAAUAUUAUGUUCAUUAUUGGUACAAACAAACAAUGAAACCAGUUUAUCAUUUUACACUACUGGUGCUGCCUGUAAACAGUGAUUCUUACUUUGUUUGUCUGGUACAGAACAAGUAAGAUUACCGUUGUUUGUUUGAUCAACAAUGGUUAUUUCAUGCAUUUUUCUGUUGGUGAAGGUUUGCAUGUAAAAGUUAUAGCUUCUAAAAUACCAUAUAUAAUUCUAAGCAGCUUAAUUUUAUAAUUCUGUUAUUUUUUAUUUUAUUUAUAUCAAUAUAUAUCUGUAUCUACCUACUAAGAUCUUAUAAUUAAUUAAGUAUUUUGAUCCGUCACUGUAUUAAAACCAAUAAUUCGCUGUUAAUUUAUAUUAUUUAAAUAUUCAUAUAUACUGUACCAAAGUAGAUAAUGGAACACAGAAAUUUAAUAGACAACAGCUAUCAAUGGUGGCAUGUUAGUGUUAACGCCUAAUUAUUGAAAACUGAUUAUCAGCGUAAAGUUGUAACAAAUGUCAAAAUAUAUCCCAUACACAUUUUCAGUAAAUUAAUAGUUCAGUUUCAUCAGCUGAUGUCAUGCAGCUCUAUAUACGCACUGAUUAUUUUUUCAUUUUUUUUUAAUGCAUCAAAUGAAUAUCCCUUCAAAAGCAAUAUUUUUUUAUAUAUUUAAAUUUUUUUUCAAAUGUUUUCCAUUCAAAUAUCAUGCUUUGUAGCCCAUAUACCUCGCCUCAUUUUGCAGUCCUUAAUACAAAUGACCUGGCUUGACACGUUCCAAAUACAUCGGUUUGAUAAUACAUCCAAACAUUCAGAGCGCUCGGUAUUGUUUAUGUGGUAUGCUUCUUGUCUCGCCACUAACACAUACAAAUGUUAACAUCCGGGUAUGCUUUGCGCGUUUGCAUUGUAUGUUUAGAUUUGUCAAACCAGUACAUUUAGUUGUUUUGUGGCUUCGUCAAGCGAGAUCAUUUCUAACAUUGAUUAAUUCAACACUGGUGUUUUUUGAUUAUUUUUUUCCGUGGUAUACUUGUAGUGGCCAACUGGAUUUAAGUGUUUGUCUGUUUUACUGGGUUGCUUCUGCAUGCGGGUACUGCAUUAAAAUAGUGGUGUAGCUACGGUGACCCUGGGUGACCCCUGCUCUUAUUGCAAUACCGAAAACCUGUUAUUACACCUUGAUAUUCUUCAUAUCAUGAAUCAAGAAAUUUCUGUAGAAGAAACAGUAAUUUUCCAUCAGUUUGUGCAUCAGUGGGAGAAAAAAUGAAAUUUCAUGAAUGAAAUUGUUUAUUUAUUUGACAUCUUAAACAAUGAUCAUGAAAUGUUUGUUGCUUAAUUUUUUGUUGACACCUAGGUCUCUAUAGCUACAUUACCACGUAAGUCAUAUAAUUAACUAUUCGACAUUAGGCCUAUUUAAAAUUAACAUUUGCCAUGUCUUGAAGACUAAAAAUAUACUGUUUGGAGUUUCAGAUUUCAAUUCUUACAAUAAUCCUGAUGAUAUAGAUUAGCCUUUACCCUACUCAUUAACUUAACUUAACUAGAGUAAUUAAUUAAUUACUGAGUUCCAGCUAAUCAUGGCACCCAGUUGGUCACAUCAAUUCUAAACAAGUAUUUUCAAAAAAUAAUUGAGUGGUUUUUUUAAACUAUGACGUGUUUUAUAAUUCAUCUAACAUUCAGUGUGAAAAGAGGUAUUAACACCUACCCCAAAUUAAUGAGCUAUUAUUUUAUUAUGUUAUUAUGGAACCAGGUUAUUAUUUGAAGGGAUAAGAAUAACUAAAGUAUAAACUGAUCUUAAAAUAUGGUAUGUGAAGUAUCUUUGUAUUUUAUAGUUUAAACAAUUGUAUAAAUAAAGAGUGAUCAUAAACAAACUUAAUUUUCUAUGUAAUAAAGAUGCAACAUAAUUCUGCCCGGGUGGAUUGUCGAUGUAAGGAUACUUGUCAAAUUGUAAAUUAGAUAACAGAUAAUUAGCGUGUAAAAUAGGACAUUGAUUAAGAAUCGUAAACCAGCUUGUAGGCAUAGGAUCUAUUAUAAAGCCAAGACUUUGUACCUCUUACAAUCUGUUUGUACCUUAGAACAAUUUAAUCUAUUUUUAACAUACUUUACAUGUCCAAUUCAUCACAUAUUCAUGUAUAUGUUGACUUUUUUGAUAAUUAAUAAUUAUGAAUGUUUAAAAUAUUAUUCAUCAUUGAUGAUACAGUACAUCUUAAGUAUUUGUAAAUGAUUAAUUUAAAUAUUUCGACUGUUAUCGAUUUAAGAUCCUGUUUUAAUCCCAUUGAUUAAUUCCAUACAUUUCUUGAUUUGUCUGGCGAGUACUUGUUAUGAGCUUGUACAGCUGAAUCGAGUCGUAUCGAAAGUCUUAUCACGAAUACGAAUAUGACUACAGGAUAUCAAAUAGCGACUACAUUUUUAUGGACAAAUAAUACGCGGUUCGAGCGAAAAAAAAAAAAGCUUUGGAUGACUUUCGUUUAUUAUAACGCUUUGAUUUUGUAGCCUACCUGACCAUUUAUUUUGUUUGUUCUGCAAGAAUUCCUACACCGUCACCCGCAUUAACUUCUGUUUAAUUCUGACCGUGUAUCUUUUUUUGCCAAAAAUAAAAACUCGCAAAAGGAACGUGGACUUCUAGAUUAACAGAAUGACUUGUUUUCACAAUAUUCUCUGAGAUAUUAUAAGCUUCACAAAUUAGCCACCAGAAAUUAAACUGAAACACACGUGUAUUACUUGGACCUAUAAAAAAUUCCUGUUUGCACACGCAUAUUUUGUUUGAAAUAUCGACUGAGUUUUAGCAGACAUUAUAAUCUGCUUGCAAAAAAAACUUGAUGUUUUUGUGGACUAUAUUGUUACCAUUAUGUGGACAGUUGUGUCCAGCGAAGACCGAAUGUGUACAUCAAGGGUGAGGAAGAGGAUUCAACCUAACUGCUUAACUCUGUCUAGAUUCGCAUGAAAGUGUUGCCAUGGUUUUAAAUAACUAAUGCGUCUAGACUGUUCGCAAGUGACUCAACCAUAGAAAAACAUCUCUUGGAUAAUGCUUUCAAUAGGCUGUGCUGCAAAAAAUUUCAUAAAGGUGUGAAUGAUAUUAAUAACCGGCUGCUAACAUCAAAGGAUUGACUGCUGAAAUAGAAAAAAUGUGGAAAUACAUUAUUUACUACCAUAGAUUAACCGAGUCAUCUACAAGUUGAACUUGUGUCCUGAGAUUGUCAUCGGAAGAAUUAUUACAUCAAGCUACAGACCACCAUGAUAAAGGAGUAUUACAGAAUAUACCCAUCAGAAAAGAUGCCAUACGGAGGACACCAACACCACAGGUAUGCCAUAAUAAUUUUUUUUUAAACCCAAGGGUUGACAUCUUUGGCAGUGUCCAUGCAGUGCGUAUGACUCAACUAAUGUGGAAUAUGGUUCAGUACCAUGGAAGAGAUGCCAUCUCGCCAAAGGAACACCACCUUUAAAGAAAAACUAUUAUGGAAGAGAUAGCAAUUUGAGACGCCGCACAUCGUGGAAGAAACUCCGUCUAGGAAGAUAUGCCAUCUUGGAAGAGACGCAAUCUUGGAAGCAACGCCAUCUUCAGGAAAUAACCACCACCUCCUCAUUGGAUCUUAGAAGUUGUAGAGAUUGAUCAGAGGUCACCCUAAGUUUAACAAUCAGAGAGAUUUUGAACUGUUCGUCAAAGUGGAAAAAUAAUGCAGUGCAGUGUUAGCAUGUUGAGAUGUCGUGGAUGAAUAUGGAAAAGCCGCAAUAAUAUAAGGAUGGAAAUGGCAACGUUCUCAUGGUUAGACCAACCAACCUCAGCAACAACUCAAUUCAGCACAAACCCAUUUUACUCUUAUUCUGCAAGAAAUUCCAUCAUCUAUCUUGAACAGCUGGGCUGUUGAGAAUGUAAUGAUCCGGCGAUGGGUCGCCAUGUUUUUGUAAUAUCACCAUAUUGUCGUCUUUUCAGAGUUGUACAAUAUUUGACAGGUGUGUUGUACUGAACAUUCGACAGGUUCGCUCUAAUGACAAAGCAGAAAACAACUGGCGUCGUCUUAGACAAGAAGGUUAAGUGUCAUUCUAAGUACUAGGUGGACAUUAAGAUCCUAUGAGUCAAAGGUGUACGAGAUAAAAAUACCAGUCACAACAGAUAAUUGAUUUAAGGAGAGCAAAACCAAAUUGAUGUGUAACAUAAAAUGAAAUGAAAUUUAAGGAUGGUUGACUCAUCAAAAGAUUGAAGGAUAAAUGACGAGACAUUUGAGGAUGCCACAGAUCUGGACAAUAGACAAUCAGGUUCAAGGACAAAAGUAGCCUAAGCAACAGUCGACAGAUGCAACAUCAUCGGAAAUUGAAGCAUCCUGGAAAACGGUCAAUGAAUAAUACAACAUCAACGGAUGUUGAUGCUUACUUCCUAUUACACCCAUGCAACCAAUUUGACAUUUACGUCAUAAAAAACAUCAUUAUUUUCUGUUACUAUGCAUCAGUCUUUAUUGACUAUAUUCUUACUAUUUAUUCUUUAUGUGUACCCUGCAACUAAAUUACCAAAAAAACCAAACUUGCUUUCAACCUUUGUUUCAAAAUAUAUUCUGUAUAAUUUGUUAACACUGUGGAAUAGUAUGUCCGUAAUUGUUUUGGAGGGAUUUUAACAAAAAUAUGGAAACACAAAUUACUUCACAUUACAUUUAUUAUAAGAUAAAGUAUAUUUAUAAAUUAUUUUCAAGUAAUGAACAUUUGCUCACGUAAAAUUAUUUAUCAUAUAUUAGAAUUUAUUCAAAUUAUUAUAAAAAUACUGUGCAGUACCCAAGAAUUUACUUUCAGUAAAUUUGGAAGCAUGCAUUGUAACAAAUUACAGAUAAUAGGCUCGGCAAAUAUCAUGGUUGUGGAAAUAUAGUAGUUUUAUUUGCAGUACAGAAUCGACAAUUAACUAUGUGCAUACAGAGCUUCUUUUGAAUAGAAUCACACAUGCUACGUGAACCUGCUGAGGAGAUUCGUUUUAGAGGCCAUAAUAAGGUUCAACAAAACCGCAUACAAACGUUUUACAAAACAAUUUCAAUGUAUAAAUAGAAAAGGUCAAAUUGAUCCAGUAAACAAUGUUGCAAUAUUAAUAUUUAAUAUUUCAAAAAGUGUUACCAGUCUGAUUUUUUUCUCUGAUCAAUAUGUAAAUUGGUCAUGUGAUGUUAUAAAGUUCAUGUAAUGUUAUAAAGGUCAUGUCUUAAAGCAAUAUAUAGUAUAGGAUACUGAGUGGGAUAUAGAUUGCUUGGCAUAUCUAUUGCUUGACAUAUCUCUAUUAAUUAUGAAAUAAUAUAACAUUAAAGUAUUAAUUUAAUCCUCCAUUUAUAAUUCCCAAAUAUAUGUAUUAAAAAUAUCAAGAACAAAUAUAGAAACCAAAUUUUGCUCAUAGAUUAAGUACUGAAAAGAGCAAAGGUGAAUGUUUUUCCAUAAGUAUCUCCUCUCCCAUCACAUAUUUUUGUUUUGUUGUUUAUGUGAUGUUCCUUAUCUUGAUCUUGAAUCACAAUUGUUAAUAAUUUUGUUCACUAUACAUGCAAUCCGGUGGUUUUCAAUUAAUUGACUAACGUGAGAUUAACCAAUUCGUGAAUUUCUAAGAGAUCAUAUAGCACAUAUUCUGUCAUGUACACUAGAUCGUCCGUACAGAUAUAGAAUACUAAAGAUCGCAAUCAGUGACAAUAUAUGUGUUCAGUGAAACGUAGCAUUAAAUGGUGAGUGUUGUACUGAAUUAGUUGACUGCUGAUAGGCAUAGCAACAUUGGAAUGCAGUCAUGCGUAACAUCUAAUGAAUAUUCGAAAGCAAUAAUGACAAUAUGAUGUUGACUGGAUGAGAUGCUCUUGUCAAGAGUUUCAUGUGAUGCUUCUGCAAAUUCCAAUACAUAAUUGCAUGAUUUUAUCACAAAUAAAUGUUUCAAAUAAACAUUGCACUGUAUAGUAAGCUAGCAGUGUAUAGUCAUGGUUUCAAAUGCCACAUAUUAUAGUGUCUUUAAACAACAUAUAAUAAUAUUAAUAAUUGGGAAAUUUGACAUUGUUCUUUGACAUUAUAAUCAAGCACAAAAAGUUAGAAUUUCAUUCCAUAAGAUAUUUCACCCUGUGUUGUGUGAGAUAUAUAUCAUAGUAUAUAUUGUAUUUUAUAUGUGAUGUAUACAACACUUUUAUCCAUACAUUUAUUUGUAAUGUUUUUUAAUAAUGUUAAUAUUAUUUUAUAUAUUCUUGCCAGUUUCAAAAUCUUAUUAGUAAAAACUGUAAAACUUCCAUUCCAUUUUUUAGUUGAAAAUACAAUUUCUGAUUACUAUUAUUAUUAAGGCUUCAUUCAUUAAGUAUAUAUAUAUUAUUUUGUUUCUAAACAUAACUGAGUUAACCCUGUCUAUAUUAAAAUGCAAUGAUUUAAAUUAUAAUAUAAUAUUCUCCCAUAUGAAUAUUUUUCGAAAUAUGUGUUUGCAUUUGUAUCGGCUAAAACGUGCCACGAUUGAAAAUUCAUUUAAUUAAAGCGGUAAAGUUUAUAAAAAUAAAACCUAACAAGGUACAGUAUUUUAAUAAAGUAAUCUUUAGUAUUCAAAGCCUAAUAAUAUAAAGAUUAAAUUUUUAUUUGUAAUUUUUUAAAUAUUUCAAAAAAAAAUUAUUGAAAUUAUUAUUAUCUUAAACUAAUGCAAAAGACUUUCUUGUCCCAUCUGUUAUUAAGUAAGUACAUUCUCUGAUCAUACAACCUUCAUAUUUAUGUUAACUACUUAUAUAGUUCUGUGUGUGUGUGUGUGUGUAUAUAUGUGUGUGUUUUGGAUAUUCUCAUUAAGUUCAUAUGAAUAAGGUGAUGAGGUAUAUAAGUUCACAGUUAAAUACAAAGAAUUGUCUAUGAUAAACAAUGAGAGAGUGUCGGUACGAGUAUCGCAAAAAGCGACAAAGUUAGUAUGCAAGUUUAGUCAGAUGAUCAAGAAACAUAUAUGGACUGUACAUGACUACAAUGUCAGUACAGUAUAAUCAAUGUUGGGGUUUUAUUCACAAAAGCCCAACCAAUUGUUUAAUAGAAUCCAGGGCAAAUAUUUUUUUUUGUUUCUCUUAAUAUCUUGAUUCUUGGUCCCAAGGCCUUAGUAAAGAGUGUGGUUAUCAUUGGUUUGUGAUUUGAAUUUUUCAAAAUAUAAAAUUCAAAGUAACAACAGAAUUUUAAAGCCCUAACACUAUCCUCUCAAAUGAAUUUUGCAAAACAGUUAUAUAGAAAUCAUAAUCAAACAGAUAAAAUAACAUCAAUGAUAACCAUUUUUCUUUACUAACGUCUUCUCUCCAUUUACCUAUGCAAUUUUAUACUGAAAUUUGUAAAUAUAUUGGAUAUCAUACCAAACUGUAUUUAGAAUAUUAUGUUAGUUUACAGUGUUAUAGGAACCCUGUUGUACAAUGUAUUCUUCUAUGCAUUUUUGUGUGUAGGUUUGUGAAAAGGGAUUUACAAUUAUCUAUAAAGAAGUAAUUGACUUGACCUAUUGUUUAUGAAUAUUAAUAAGUCACUGUUGUAAAAAUAACAUGCGUUAUCAAAGCAUCAGUUAAAAAAAAGGAAAAAUAUUUUUUUUCUAGUUGUUAUGGUUAGACGAUUUAAAUGGGAUUCUCAAGGUAUAACCUUUUCUCUUGUGGUAUGAGAAUAACAUUCAUAAUUACAUGAAUUAUCCUUCUCUAACCCACCUCACUUCCCACUGAAUUUUCUCUGAUUCUCUAAAUAAUAUUUUAAAUGCCUGAAAUCUGUGAAAGCCUCUAUUUCUGUUACCUCUGCUACUUAUAAUAUAUUUUUGCUUGUUAUUUAUUAUUUAUUUCAGACAUGAUAAUACUUGUUUGAAUGUGGUAUAUAUUCAUAUUUUGUGCAAACAUUUUUAGUCUUUUAGCAUAUUUUAUUUAUUUUUUAAAAUUUCAAACCAGCUUACUAUAAUUCAGGUUUCUAUUAAGUACUAUUUACCCCCUGAGCCUAAUAUAUGACAUAGCAUUUGAACAAAUUAACAAUCUAAACAUGUUUCUUUUGCAAAAAACAAAAAAAAAAUUCUGUUUAAAAACAAUUACAAAAAACAUUUAAUUUGUAUUUUUAGGGUGAUUGAUGUAAUUUCAUUCCAAACUUCUAUUCACCUGUAACAUGUAGGUGAUUUCAUUCCACCACCUGAAAAUAUUCUAUCAUUAGCAGAUCAGAAAUCUUUUUUUAAAAUCAUAACCUAUAUGUUGAUGAAAUUCUUUAAGAUGCAUCAUAAACCGCAGUCGAAGUAGACAGAUAAUACGUAGAUGGACAAUUUGAAGGAUAAUCAAAGUUAUACAGCAGCUACAAAAUUUUGUUAUCUAAAUGAAUAGAGGGUUACAAGCCAGAUGCAUGCCUAUAAAAUGCAAUUUCAUCUAAAUUCAUUUUGCAUUUACAGUCGCAGUAAAGAUUUGGCAAGCAUGGAUGAUUAGGAGUAAUUAAUUUAAAACUGUAGAACACAUCAUCAUUACAUUGGCUCCUCAUUAGGAAUCCUACUCAUAUCUUUAAAUUUAAAAUGUCCUGUUUGAUUUGAGCUUUCAGUCUGAGCCUCGUCUACAAUGUGUAAGUUCUGUUAUUUUUAUGGAUUUAUGUUGCAGCAUAAAUUAGUCAAGCUGUAUCGUACGGCAUAUAUCCCUAGAAAUUUUUAUAUCUCCCCUGCGGUUGGUUUUCAUCAUUUUAUGCUGAUUGGAGAUAUCUCAUGAUGUUGGAAAGUUCAUUUUCACACGUGAUCUGUACACGCUUGUGUGUAUGUAUGUGGCACGUAAAGGCUAGAGCAACCACCUUUCCAAUUAAAAGAAUUAGAAUGUUGGUUUUCUAGAAAACUUGAAACUUUCCUUAACAUUGGUUAUCAUUAAACACAUAAAAUGAAAUCAUAGGUAAUAACCAUAGAUCAGGGGUAACUUGAAUGACUACAUAUUUCAACCAAUUAGAAAUGUUCCUGAAGUUUACAUAGAGAAAGGCUAGGCCAGUAAAACAGGACCAUUUAUUAAAUACCUGAAAACUCUACAUCACUUAAACAAAACAAUACAAAAUAAUUCUGUUGUAAGGAAAAUCAUUUUCGACAAAUGAUUAAUAAAAAGUUGCAUAUUAUUUACUACCUUUAUUAUUAUUUUAAUUGGAAAUGGAACCAAAUUUAAAAUUAAUUACUUCUUUUUGUCCAUGUCAUUGUUGUUCUUGUUCUUGCAAUUCAGUUUCAAACCAUGAUUAGAUUUAGCUACUUGUUACUUUUAAUGAAGUAUGGAUGGAUUUGAUGUUUUAGUUUGUUGUUCUUGUCAACCACCAAUUUUUCGACUUCCUGUGUUCCUCCAAAAAUUAUCCUUCUAGAAUUAUUCAUCUUUAUCAUGAGUGCUAUAAAAUUUCUUCAUUAAAACCCCAGAAUUUUAUUGUACUUCUAAAUUGUGUGUACAAAUAAGUUAAAAAAACCUGAAAAAAGUCAGAAGAUUUAGUUAGCAUAAUUUUUUUUGUAUUAUUUUGAUUAAUAAUGUUUUGUAAUUGUAAUUACAAAAGUAUAAUUAUUAUUAUGAAUAAGUAUAAUUAUGUAUAACGUAAAUGUCUAUGUGUUUUUUCUUUGAUAUAAAUAAGACAUGUUUUUCAUAUAUAAAUGUGUGAAGAUCUGAUUUAAGUUGAACAUUUCAAAGAAGUUUCAGAUAAUAUAGUGUGGAUAACAUUGGGACAUAUGUGUACAUUUUGCAACAAAUGAUAUAAUGGUUUCUAUUAGACAAUUCAGAUGCUUUUUGUGUGCGCAAUUAUUUUUACCUCAAUACUGCCCUGCUUAGACAUUCAGACUUAUGUUGAUGAUAUCUAUAUAAAAUUUCAACAGUUGAUGUUAAAAUUAAUUAAUUUACUUGAAAAUUUGUAUGUGAUUUGUUUUAAAAAUACAUUUAGUGUUGAUCACUGUUUUUUGUCUUUUUAAAAUGUUUAUUUUUUCCUUUGAAACAUUAUGUCAAAGUAUUUAAAAAUUAUAUAUUAUUUAAGUAAUUAGCUCUAUAGCUUGCUAAUAGAAUGUGUUUAUGCUGUUUAUUGAUUUUUUUUUAAUUACUGAAGUUGGGAUUUCUCUUGAUCUUUCAAAACUGUGUAUUGUGUUCUUUCAAUUAUGCUGCGGUCCAAUGCAUUUAUGAUCGCAGUGAACACGACUCGUGAAUAUGACGUGAAAAACGUUCCAGUGUAAAUUGCAUUACAAAUGCAUGAGUGUUGUUUACGUAAGUAUACCAGUUGUACGCAAUUGUAAUUCAAUUUACAAUAAUAUGUGCGAGUUUGGUUAUGUGAAUAACUGAAAGUUUCUAAAAUUCAAAGUCUUGGCCAGGUAUUGGAAUGUUUUUCACAACUUCUCAAUUUGCAGAUCACGGUGAUCAUAAGUGCAUUGAAAUGCAUCAGUGUUUAUUCUGAAUGAUUUAAUAAUCAAUUUGUAUAUUAUGCUGUGGUUUUUCUUGAUGAUUACUGUAUUAAUCCAAUGAAAAUGUAUGGGAUUAUCCUGUGAAGUUAAUAGAUUAUCUGCCUGAAUCAAUCCUUGGGACCCAUUAGUGUGUAAAAGUAUCUGUCCGUUUGUAUUACGGCAGUACUUUGAACAUAGCACUUAACAUCUACACCAAGGCAUUUAGUAAUUUAUUCUUUUAUAUGCAUCACUACUAUUAGUACAAUAUUGUAUGUUAAGUAUAGUUUUCAAUAAUAAACCAAUCAUUUCGGGGGUGAUUUUGAAGUUAUCAGUUUUCUAGAUUUAAGUAGAAUUCAAUCUUCUUAUUUAUACUUCAUUUGUGGUGUAGAAUGCAGAAAAAACAAACAUUUUAGUCAAAUAUAUAAAUAAUGAUUUCAGUUUUUAUGAGUCUAUUAUGAAUAUAAGAUUUGAGUGCAAUAUUGAAAAUGUUUUAAUACACUUAAGUCUUUGUAGCGAGAAGGAUAUUGCAAGUUUGGAAAUUUUCUAUAGGUUUUAAUAAAAUGUUUCAACAUAUACUAGCUUGGUGUGGUAUUCCACAAACGGAGAGUUCCCUUAUAUAAAUUAUAAGAUAGGAUUGUUGAAUCUUUUACUCUUAUUACUUGUAAAUAAUAUGAUAAUGUCGGGCGAAACAUGUUUAUAGACUUUUUUCCUGAGCCCCUAUACUUGUGAUUAUAAAAAAAUUGUAGAAUGUAAGUUAUCUAAAUUACAUCUAACAUUUACCAAUCAUAAAUGCUAAUAAAAAUUGAUAUGUUGGGAGAAUGACCCUUUUUA